GGCGACCCGGCGAGUAGAGCCAACACCAACACUCCUCCUUAGCGAGGGGUCUCCCCGCCGCGGUGGCUGCCCGGCCCCAAGGACAGGAGGGUUUGGGCACUGACUCCUGACCCCGUCCUCCAGCGCUGCUCUGGAGGGAGAGUCUGUGCGGUGGCACCUGCGCGAAGCCGGCCAAAGCCUGCCCAGACUGCUCACCUGUGCGGGAUGGAACGAAAG
rnacentral:antisense_RNA from 1 species